rnacentral:rRNA from 1 species
GUGUUCCUACGGGGCGCAGCAGUGAGGAAUAUUGGUCAAUGGGCGAGAGCCUGAACCAGCCAAGUCGCGUGAGGGAAGACGGUCCUAUGGAUUGUAAACCUCUUUUGCCGGGGAGCAAAGUGCCGCACGUGUGCGGUUUGGAGAGUACCCGGAGAAAAAGCAUCGGCUAACUCCGUGCCAGCAGCCGCGGUAAUACGGAGGAUGCGAGCGUUAUCCGGGUUUAUUGGGUUUAAAGGGUGCGUAGGCGGACGCUUAAGUCAGCGGUAAAAUUGCGGGGCUCAACCUCGUCGCGCCGUUGAGACUGG